rnacentral:rRNA from 1 species
AUUCCAGCUCCAAUAGCGUAUAUUAAAGUUGUUGCGGUUAAAAAGCUCGUAGUUGGAUUUCUGCUGAGGACGACCGGUCCGCCCUCUGGGUGAGUAUCUGGCUUGGCCUUGGCAUCUUCUUGGAGAACGUAGCUGCACUUGACUGUGUGGUGCGGUAUCCAGGACUUUUACUUUGAGGAAAUUAGAGUGUUUCAAGCAGGCACACGCCUUGAAUACAUUAGCAUGGAAUAAUAAGAUAGGACCUUGGUUCUAUUUUGUUGGUAUCUAGAGCUGAGGUAACGAUUAAUAGGGAUAGUUGGGGGCAUUCGUAUUUAACUGUCUGAGGUGAAAUUCUUGGAUUUGUUAAAGACGGACUACUGCGAAAGCAUUUGCCGAGGAUGUUUUCAUUA